GACGAACGCUGGCGGCGUGCCUAAUACAUGCAAGUCGAGCGAACAGAAGGGAGCUUGCUCCCGGAUGUUAGCGGCGGACGGGUGAGUAACACGUGGGUAACCUGCCUGUAAGACUGGGAUAACUCCGGGAAACCGGAGCUAAUACCGGAUAGUUCCUUGAACCGCAUGGUUCAAGGAUGAAAGACGGUUUCGGCUGUCACUUACAGAUGGACCCGCGGCGCAUUAGCUAGUUGGUGGGGUAAUGGCUCACCAAGGCGACGAUGCGUAGCCGACCUGAGAGAGUGGACGGCCACCCUGGGACUGAGACACGGCCCAGACUCCUACGGGAGGUAGCAGUGGGGAAUCUUCCGCAAUGGACGAAAGUCUGACGGAGCAACGCCGCGUGAGUGAUGAAGGUCUUCGGAUUGUAAAACUCUGUUUUUUGGGACGAACGGCUCAUAUGUGAACAAUGUAUGAGAUUGACGGUACCAAAGGAGGAAGCCCCGGCUAACUACGUGCCAGCCGCCGCGGUAAAAC
rnacentral:rRNA from 1 species